rnacentral:rRNA from 1 species
AUUGAACGCUGGCGGCAGGCCUAACACAUGCAAGUCGAGCGGAUGAAGGGAGCUUGCUCCUGGAUUCAGCGGCGGACGGGUGAGUAAUGCCUAGGAAUCUGCCUGGUAGUGGGGGAUAACGUCCGGAAACGGGCGCUAAUACCGCAUACGUCCUGAGGGAGAAAGUUGGGGAUCUUCGGACCUCACGCUAUCAGAUGAGCCUAGGUCGGAUUAGCUAGUUGGUGGGGUAAAGGCCUACCAAGGCGACGAUCCGUAACUGGUCUGAGAGGAUGAUCAGUCACACUGGAACUGAGACACGGUCCAGACUCCUACGGGAGGAAGCAGUGGGGAAUAUUGGACAAUGGGCGAAAGCCUGAUCCAGCCAUGCCGCGUGUGUGAAGAAGGUCUUCGGAUUGUAAAGCACUUUAAGUUGGGAGGAAGGGCAGUAAGUUAAUACCUUGCUGUUUUGACGUUACCAACAGAAUAAGCACCGGCUAACUUCGUG